rnacentral:rRNA from 1 species
UACGUAGGUGGCAAGCGUUGUCCGGAAUUAUUGGGCGUAAAGAGCUUGUAGGCGGUUUGUCGCGUCUGCUGUGAAAUUUCGGGGCUCAACCCCGAACUUGCAGUGGGUACGGGCAGACUAGAGUGUGGUAGGGGGAGACUGGAAUUCCUGGUGUAGCGGUGAAAUGCGCAGAUAUCAGGAGGAACACCGAUGGCGAGGGCAGGUCUCUGGGCCACUACUGACGCUGAGAAGCGAAAGCAUGGGGAGCGAACAGG